AGAGGAACCAAAAAAGAGCAGGUGACAGUGGGUUCAGAGGCACAGAUAUAAGAAAGGAGCUGGCAGGCAGGAGUGUAAAUUAGUUCCUGGUGGUCCAGAAAAAUCCAGCAGUUUCAUACUUCUUGGUGCUGAGGCUUGGGCAGGAAAAGGAGGUGAGUUCAUUGGCUGUGUGUAACCUGGAUGUUGAGACCUUGGGGAACAUGAGCUUAAUCACACUUGAGCUGAUUUUAUUUCUGAUCAUACUGCAAAACAUUGCUAUAUGGGCUCGCAUGGGCCUCGUACAGGCUCACAAGGGCCUCGUAUGGGCUCGUGCGGGCCUCUACGGGCUCACUCAGGCCUCCUACAGGCUUGCACGGGCUCGCACGGACCUCCUACGGGCUCGUGUGGGGCUCCAUGGGCGCACACAGGCCUCUACGUGCCUCUACGGGCGCGCACGGGCUCGCACAAGCUCGCACAGGCCUCUACGGGCUCGCAGAGGCGUCCUACGGGCUCUUACGGGCUUGCACGGACCUCUACAGGAUCGCACAAGCUUGCAUGGGCCUCUACGGGCUCGCAGAGGCCUCCUACGGGCUCGUACGGGCUCGCACAAUCUCGCACAGGCCUCUACGGGCUCGCAGAGGCCUCCUACGGGCUUGUACGGGCUCGCACAAGCUCCCACGGGCCUCUACAGGCUCGCACAAGGUCGCGGGGGCCUCUAUGGGCUCGCACAGGCCUCUAUGGGCUCGCAAGGGCUUCCUACAGGCUUGUACGGGCUCCUGAGUGUCUCCACGGGCUCUCACAAGCUCGCAUGGGCCUCUACGGGCUCGCACAGGCCUCCUAUGGGCUGGUAUGCCCCCUAGUGCACUCUGGACUACUUUUUCAGCUUUCUUCUGUGCCCCAGAGCCAUCUUCUGGCCUUCCACACCCUUUCACACCCCUCAGGUUCCCUCACAAUCCCUGUGGAGCCCUUCUUCAUGCCCUGCAGCCCUCUUUUGGCCCACCAAACCCUUCAGCAGCCCUCAGUUCUGCUCUGGACCCCUCCCUUGGCCUUUUAG
rnacentral:lncRNA from 1 species